UUUUCCCUCUCUUUCUUUCAAGGCCACUCGUUCUCUCUCUUACUUUUCAAGGCCAACCCCUCCCACUUCCCCCACCACUUCAAGGCCAAGGCAUUAUUGGACCUUGAUGUUUUCAAGGUCAAGGUUAUUCAUGCUACUCCCCACUUUUGCAAGGCCAACAACUCCUCACUCAUUCAAGAUGAAUCGCGCAAUUGUCCUUACUCAUUUUCCACCCCAAACUGUAUAAAAGUUAAUGUGUUGUGUUGUGUAACACAGUUCUUGUGUAUAUCUACUAUAACAAGAAAUUCUUUAAAAAUGGAACCCAUCAGAAAAAGUUCUAUUUAUAAUACUCCUGAGGAUAUCAUAGUUUGUCCAUACGACAAAAAUCACAUUCUUCUUUGGUUUCGGCUCGAAAGGCACAUAUGGAAGUGCCAUCGGGCCGAUAAAGAAAAACAAAGGGCCUUACGUGAAGUGAUGAUGAAGGAAGAAGAGGAGAACUGGGAUCAUUUCAAUGAGCCCAGCUACCUCGACUUCCUGAAAUCUAAAAAAAUUCAUAAUGUCAAAAAACAAAGAUCCUCAUGUGAAGUGAUGAUGAAGAAAGAAGAGGAGAACUGGGAUCAUUUCAAUGAGCCCAGCUACCUCGACUUCUUAAAAUCUAAAAGGAAUCAUAAUGCCUUAAAUUAAAGAAGGCCGGGGUUCUUUCGUAAAAAUAGUGUAGAAUAAGUUUAGCAAAGUAGUAGUAGUCGUAGUAAACUGUAAAUAUUAUAUUAUUGUAUAAAAAAAAUAAAAGUUGUAAAAAAAAGCUACAUGUUUUUAUGUACACCUAUUUCAACCUACUGAUACAAGUAAGUGUGACCUGCAAGCAGAGAGUCGCUCACUGUUUCAAGACCAC